rnacentral:rRNA from 1 species
UACAGAGGUCCCAAGCGUUGUUCGGAUUCAUUGGGCGUAAAGGGUGUGUAGGUGGCGCCGUAAGUCGGAUGUGAAAUCCCGGGGCUCAACCCCGGAACUGCAUUCGAUACUGCUGAGCUAGAGUACUGGAGAGGAGAUUGGAAUUUACGGUGUAGCAGUGAAAUGCGUAGAUAUCGUAAGGAAGACCAGUGGCGAAGGCGGAUCUCUGGACAGUUACUGACACUGAGGCACGAAGGCCAGGGGAGCAAACGGG